CCUACGGGAGGCUGCAGUGGGGAAUUUUCCGCAAUGGGCGCAAGCCUGACGGAGCAAUGCCGCGUGAACGAAGAAGGUCUUCGGAUUGUAAAGUUCUGUCCUUAUCGAAGAGAGAGUCUAGAGUGAAAAAUGAUAUACUAGGACGGUAGAUGAGGAGGAAGCCCCGGCUAACUACGUGCCAGCAGCCGCGGUAAUACGUAGGGGGCGAGCGUUGUCCGGAAUCACUGGGCGUAAGGGGCGCGUAGGCGGUAAUAUAAGUCAGAUGUGAAAGGUGGGGGCUCAACCCCUAGAGUGCAACUGAUACUGUAGAACUUGAGUAUGGGAGAGGGGAGCGGAAUUACUGGUGUAGCGGUGAAAUGCGUAGAUAUUAGGAGGAACACCAGUGGCGAAGGCGGCUUACUGGAUCAUAACUGACGCUGAGGCGCGAAAGCGUGGGGAGCAAACAGGAUUAGAUACCCGUGUAGUC
rnacentral:rRNA from 1 species